CAAGAGUGGCGCACGGGUGAGUAGCGCGUGGGAACCUGCUUUGUUGUGGGGGAUAACCGAGGGAAACUUCGGCUAAUACCGCAUAAGCUUCCGGGCUUGUUCCGGGGGGAAAGAUUUAUCGCGACAGGAGGGGCCCGCGUCCGAUUAGCUGGUUGGUGGGGUAACGGCCUACCAAGGCUGCGAUCGGUAGCUGGUCUGAGAGGAUGAUCAGCCACACUGGGACUGAGACACGGCCCAGACUCCUAUGGGAGGCAGCAGUGGGGAAUAUUGGACAAUGGGCGCAAGCCUGAUCCAGCAAUGCCGCGUGAGUGAUGAAGGCCUUCGGGUUGUAAAGCUCUUUCGCCCGCGACGAUGAUGACGGUAGCGGGAGAAGAAGCUCCGGCUAACUUCGUGCCAGCAGCCGCGGUAAUACGAAGGGGGCGAGCGUUGUUCGGAAUCACUGGGCGUAAAGGGCGCGUAGGCGGCCCUCCUUGUCGCGUGUGAAAGCCCCGGGCUCAACCUGGGAACGGCGCGCGAGACGGGGGGGCUGGAGUUCGGGAGAGGAGCGUGGAAUUCCCAGUGUAGAGGUGAAAUUCGUAGAUAUUGGGAAGAACACCGGUGGCGAAGGCGGCGCUCUGGACCGAGACUGACGCUGAGGCGCGAAAGCGUGGGGAGCAAACAGGAUUAGAUACCCUGUUAGUCCACGCCGUAAACGAUGUGUGUCUAGACGUUGGGGGGCCUAAUCCUU
rnacentral:rRNA from 1 species